GAUGAACGCUAGCGGCAGGAUUAAUACAUGCAAGUCGAGGGACAGAACAGGUAGCAAUACUGGGUGGUAACCGGCAAACGGGUGCGGAACACGUACACAACCUUCAUUUAAGUGGGGGAUAGCCCAGAGAAAUUUGGAUUAAUACCCCGUAAUAUAGUUGAAUGGCAUCAUUUGAUUAUUAUAGCUACGGAGCUUAAUGAUGGGUGUGCGGCUGAUUAGAUAGUUGGCGGGGUAAGGGCACACCAAGUCUACGAUCAGUAGCUGAUGUUAGAUCAUGAUCGGCCAAACGGGCACUGAGACACGGGCCCGACUCCUACCGGAGGCAGCAGUAAGGAAUAUUGGUUAAUAGCCACAAUUCUGAACCAGCCAUGCCGCUUGAAGCAUUGAUGUCCUCUGGAUUGUAAACUUCGUUUAUUUGGGACGAAGAAGGGCCUUUCUAGGUCAACUGACGUUACCAGAUGAAUAAGCACCGGCUAACUCCGUGCCAGCCGCCGCUGUAAAAC
rnacentral:rRNA from 1 species